UACAGAGACCCCGAGCAUUAUCCGGAUUUAUUGGGCGUAAAGAGUCUGUAGGUGGUUUCGUAAGUCAUUUGUUAAAUCUUCAGGCUCAACCUGGAGGCUGCAGGUGAUACUGCGAGGCUUGAGUAUGGGAGAGGCAAGCGGAAUGCCCGGUGUAGCGGUAAAAUGCGUUAAUAUCGGGUAGGACACCAAAGGCGAAAGCAGCUUGCUGGAACAUUACUGACACUGAGAGACGAAAGCGUGGGUAGCGAAAGGG
rnacentral:rRNA from 1 species